CGUAGUCGAUGGGAAACAGGUUAAUAUUCCUGUACUUGGUGUUACUGCGAAGGGGGGACGGAGAAGGCUAUGUUGGCCGGGCGACGGUUGUCCCGGUUUAAGCGUGUAGGCUGGUUUUCCAGGCAAAUCCGGAAAACCAAGGCUGAGGCGUGAUGACGAGGCACUACGGUGCUGAAGCGACAAAUGCCCUGCUUCCAGGAAAAGCCUCUAAGCAUCAGGUAACAUCAAAUCGUACCCCAAACCGACACAGGUGGUCAGGUAGAGAAUACCAAGGCGCUUGAGAGAACUCGGGUGAAGGAACUAGGCAAAAUGGUGCCGUAACUUCGGGAGAAGGCACGCUGAUAUGUAGGUGAAGCGACUUGCUCGUGGAGCUGAAAUCAGUCGAAGAUACCAGCUGGCUGCAACUGUUUAUUAAAAACACAGCACUGUGCAAACACGAAAGUGGACGUAUACGGUGUGACGCCUGCCCGGUGCCGGAAGGUUAAUUGAUGGGGUUAGCGGCAACGCGAAGCUCUUGAUCGAAGCCCCGGUAAACGGCGGCCGUAACUAUAACGGUCCUAAGGUAGCGAAAUUCCUUGUCGGGUAAGUUCCGACCUGCACGAAUGGCGUAAUGAUGGCCAGGCUGUCUCCACCCGAGACUCAGUGAAAUUGAACUCGCUGUGAAGAUGCAGUGUACCCGCGGCAAGACGGAAAGACCCCGUGAACCUUUACUAUAGCUUGACACUGAACAUUGAGCCUUGAUGUGUAGGAUAGGUGGGAGGCUUUGAAGUGUGGACGCCAGUCUGCAUGGAGCCGACCUUGAAAUACCACCCUUUAAUGUUUGAUGUUCUAACGUUGGCCCCUAAUCGGGGUUGCGGACAGUGUCUGGUGGGUAGUUUGACUGGGGCGGUCUCCUCCUAAAGAGUAACGGAGGAGCACGAAGGUUGGCUAAUCCUGGUCGGACAUCAGGAGGUUAGUGCAAUGGCAUAAGCCAGCUUGACUGCGAGCGUGACGGCGCGAGCAGGUGCGAAAGCAGGUCAUAGUGAUCCGGUGGUUCUGAAUGGAAGGGCCAUCGCUCAACGGAUAAAAGGUACUCCGGGGAUAACAGGCUGAUACCGCCCAAGAGUUCAUAUCGACGGCGGUGUUUGGCACCUCGAUGUCGGCUCAUCACAUCCUGGGGCUGAAGUAGGUCCCAAGGGUAUGGCUGUUCGCCAUUUAAAGUGGUACGCGAGCUGGGUUUAGAACGUCGUGAGACAGUUCGGUCCCUAUCUGCCGUGGGCGCUGGAGAACUGAGGGGGGCUGCUCCUAGUACGAGAGGACCGGAGUGGACGCA
rnacentral:rRNA from 1 species